rnacentral:rRNA from 1 species
GUGCGCAGAAGGGUCUGGGCUCGAGCCUGCCUGGAGCCGCCGCCGGUGCAGAUCUUGGUGGUAGUAGCAAAUACUCCAGCGAGGCCCUGGAGGACUGAUGUGGAGAAGGGUUUCGUGUGAACAGCCGUUGCACACGAGUCAGUCGAUCCUAAGCCCUAGGAGAAAUCCGACGCCUACGGCGACGGGAAAAAUUUUUGAAAAAUCAACCCGUUGAUCGGGCGAAAGGGAAUCCGGUUCCUAUUCCGGAACCCGGCAGCGGAACCGCUGUUUGUCGGGCCCUCACAAGGGGUUCGUCAGGGUAACCUAAAAGGGCCCGGAGACGCCGUCGGGAGCCCCGGAAAGAGUUUUCUUUUCUGCAUGAGCGUUCGAGUUCCCUGGAAUCCUCUCGCAGGGAGAUAGGGUUUGGAACGCGAAGAGCACCGCAGUUGCGGCGGUGCCCGGGAAUUCCCGACGGACCUUGAAAAUCCGGGAGAGGGCCACGUGGAGGUGUCGCGCCGGCUCGUACCCAUAUCCGCAGCAGGUCUCCAAGGUGAAGAGCCUCUAGUCGAUAGAAUAAUGUAGGUAAGGGAAGUCGGCAAAUCGGAUCCGUAACUUCGGG